rnacentral:lncRNA from 1 species
AUGGGGUUAUUAGGGUGUAGCUUUGGUGGCUGGAAAAGAGAGAAAUAGGUCAGAUUCAUUGGUCAGAUCUAAAAGGGUCCCAUCCCAAGAUCAAAACCCUGACCCACUCAUACAUUCUUUAUUAGUCAUGCCUUUAAUUAAUAAAUAAAUAAAUAAAUGUUAAAUAUGGUAUCAUGGGACCAAAACGUGGACGCGUGCCC